UCAUAUUCCUUCCGUCGCUCUCCGCUGGCCUACUCCACGCCCGACACGCGGAGAGGCUGCCACCGUGGCUCUCCAAGGGAAGGAUCUCCGUUUUGUGUGUCAAAGCGGUGGGGAUGCGCCUGUCGUGCCACUCCGAGUGAAGGGGCUCCACUCCGUUCAGAGGACGACAACCCUUGCAGCGCCAACCAUCGAGCAGCUUCGUGCCAACCCUCCAGUCUUCCAUCUAUCGGCAGCAUCUGCAGCCCCGACGGCAGCGGGGAGCCAUUGCGGCAGUGUCUCUAGGAGGAAAGUGUGCUGUGGCUGCAUGUGGCGUCCAAGGGCUCGACGUUGGACCUGCCCUCAUGUACCUGGCGUGUACCAGGCGAGGUAACACCUGAAUGCCAUCCUCGUCGUCUCGUGUCACUUUCGCUACUGUGGUAGAUGUUUGCCUAGCAACAUGCUUGGUGCAGUUUUGGGAUCUUUAUUUGUAAGAUUACUAUCAUACCGUAGUUUUAGGCGCACAUAUUUGUUCCUAGCUAUUGCAAACCAGUGCAAAUGUUCCUGUUCAUGCUCUACAAAGGGAUAUAUAGGAGCAUAGAGAGGAUUGCCGAGGGGCAGUAAUUUUUACCCAGUCCUUUGUUAUCAGCAGCUUUGUAGCAAUGAUAGGUUCCUGGCCUCGACACCAGCAAUUCACUCAUGUGCCUCCUUCAUUUGCCAAUUCAGGUGCUCCUCGCAGCUAUGUGCUAACUAUUACUUUCGACUCAGGUGGAAGCAGCAAUGGAUAUUAUGGUAUCAAGAAGUUAGCAUUAUUGUUGUGGAGGAUCUGAUCCUAAUAUGCAACUGCAGCUACGCAAGGGAAGAUCUUCUUGAACUGGUAAUAAUGCUCUACGUGUUGAUUCAAUGACAAGAUCUUUCAUGGAGGUGAACAUACUUCAGCUCAAUAUGUCAGUACCGCCUACUAUUUCAUGGGAAGGCCCUUCAGGAGGCUAAAUUUGACAAGAGGUUAGUCACAUACUGCUGGUAGCUUUUGUUGUAUCAUAGAUUGGCUCUGACACAAAUGUUUACCAUCUACUACUAAAUCAGCUCAAGCUAUUUUGUUUCAGUGCAAUUGAGACAAGUCUUGUCGAAUAUGAGAUGCUGAU